rnacentral:rRNA from 1 species
UACGAAGGGUGCUAGCGUUGUUCGGAAUCACUGGGCGUAAAGCGCGCGUAGGCGGCCAAUCAAGUCAGGGGUGAAAUGCCACAGCUCAACUGUGGAACUGCCUUUGAAACUGAUUGGCUGGAAGAUGAGAGGGGAUAGCGGAAUUUCUGGUGUAGAGGUGAAAUUCGUAGAUACCAGAAGGAACACCGGUGGCGAAGGCGGCUAUCUGGCUCAUUCUUGACGCUCUGGCGCGAAAGCGUGGGGAUCAAACAGG